rnacentral:rRNA from 1 species
UGGGGAAUUUUGGACAAUGGGCGCAAGCCUGAUCCAGCCAUGCCGCGUGCGGGAAGAAGGCCUUCGGGUUGUAAACCGCUUUUGUCAGGGAAGAAAUCUUCUGAGUUAAUACCUCGGGAGGAUGACGGUACCUGAAGAAUAAGCACCGGCUAACUACGUGCCAGCAGCCGCGGUAAUACGUAGGGUGCAAGCGUUAAUCGGAAUUACUGGGCGUAAAGCGUGCGCAGGCGGUUUUGUAAGACAGAGGUGAAAUCCCCGGGCUCAACCUGGGAACUGCCUUUGUGACUGCAAGGCUUGAGUGCGGCAGAGGGGGAUGGAAUUCCGCGUGUAGCAGUGAAAUGCGUAGAUAUGCGGAGGAACACCGAUGGCGAAGGCAAUCCCCUGGGCCUGCACUGACGCUCAUGCACGAAAGCGUGGGGAGCAAACAGGAUUAGAUAGCCCCUGGUAGUCCACGCCCUAAACGAUGUCAACUGGUUGUUGGGAAGGUUCCUUCUCAGUAACGUAGCUAACGCGUGAAGUUGACCGCCUGGGGAGUACGGCCGCAAGGUUG